CGCGGCCUAUCAGCUUGUUGGUGGGGUAACGGCCCACCAAGGCAUCGACGGGUAGCUGGUCUGAGAGGACGAUCAGCCACACUGGGACUGAGACACGGCCCAGACUCCUACGGGAGGCAGCAGUGGGGAAUAUUGCGCAAUGGGCGAAAGCCUGACGCAGCAACGCCGCGUGGGGGAUGAAGGCCUUCGGGUUGUAAACCCCUUUCAGCAGGGACGAAAAUGACGGUACCUGCAGAAGAAGCCCCGGCCAACUACGUGCCAGCAGCCGCGGUAACACGUAGGGGGCAAGCGUUGUCCGGAUUUAUUGGGCGUAAAGAGCUCGUAGGCGGUUGCGUAAGUCGGAUGUGAAAACUCAGGGCUCAACCCGGAGACGCCAUCCGAUACUGCGCUGACUAGAGUCCGGUAGAGGAGCAUGGAAUUCCUGGUGUAGCGGUGAAAUGCGCAGAUAUCAGGAGGAACACCAGUGGCGAAGGCGGUGCUCUGGGCCGGUACUGACGCUGAGGAGCGAAAGCGUGGGUAGCGAACAGGAUUAGAUACCCUGGUAGUCCACGCCGUAAACGUUGGGCACUAGGUGUGGGGCCUCCUUAACGGGUUCCGUGA
rnacentral:rRNA from 1 species